CCUACGGGGUGCAGCAGUGGGGAAUAUUGGACAAUGGGCGCAAGCCUGAUCCAGCCAUGCCGCGUGAGUGAUGAAAGUCCUAGGAUUGUAAAGCUCUUUCACCGGUGAAGAUAAUGACGGUAACCGGAGAAGAAGCCCCGGCUAACUUCGUGCCAGCAGCCGCGGUAAUACGAAGGGGGCUAGCGUUGUUCGGGAUUACUGGGCGUAAAGCGCACGUAGGCGGAUAUUUAAGUCAGGGGUGAAAUCCCAGAGCUCAACUCUGGAACUGCCUUUGAUACUGGGUAUCUUGAGUAUGGAAGAGGUGAGUGGAAUUCCGAGUGUAGAGGUGAAAUUCGUAGAUAUUCGGAGGAACACCAGUGGCGAAGGCGGCUCACUGGUCCAUUACUGACGCUGAGGUGCGAAAGCGUGGCGAGCAAACAGGAUUAGAUACCCGAGUAGUC
rnacentral:rRNA from 1 species